rnacentral:rRNA from 1 species
UAGGGAAUCUUCCACAAUGGGCGCAAGCCUGAUGGAGCAACGCCGCGUGAGUGAAGAAGGUUUUCGGAUCGUAAAGCUCUGUUGUAAGAGAAGAACGUGUGUGAGAGUGGAAAGUUCACACAGUGACGGUAACUUACCAGAAAGGGACGGCUAACUACGUGCCCG